UACGUAGGGUGCAAGCGUUGUCCGGAAUUAUUGGGCGUAAAGAGCUCGUAGGCGGUUUGUCGCGUCUGCUGUGAAAACUCGGGGCUUAACUCCGGGCCUGCAGUGGGUACGGGCAGACUAGAGUGCGGUAGGGGAGACUGGAAUUCCUGGUGUAGCGGUGAAAUGCGCAGAUAUCAGGAGGAACACCGGUGGCGAAGGCGGCUCACUGGCCCGGUACUGACGCUGAGGCGCGAAAGCGUGGGGAGCAAACAGG
rnacentral:rRNA from 1 species